GACGAACGCUGGCGGCGUGCCUAAUACAUGCAAGUCGAGCGCGGGAAGCCGACGGAACCCUUCGGGGGGAAGUCGACGGAAUGAGCGGCGGACGGGUGAGUAACACGUAAAGAACCUGCCCUCAGGUCUGGGAUAACCACGAGAAAUCGGGGCUAAUACCGGAUGGGUCAUCGGACCGCAUGGUCCGAGGAUGAAAGGCGCUCCGGCGUCGCCUGGGGCUGGCUUUGCGGUGCAUUAGCUAGUUGGUGGGGUAAGGGCCCACCAAGGCGACGAUGCAUAGCCGACCUGAGAGGGUGAUCGGCCACAUUGGGACUGAGACACGGCCCAGACUCCUACGGGAGGCAGCAGUAGGGAAUCUUCCACAAUGGACGAAAGUCUGAUGGAGCAACGCCGCGUGAACGAUGAAGGCCUUCGGGUCGUAAAGUUCUGUUGUAAGGGAAGAACAAGUGCCGCAGGAAAUGGCGGCACCUUGACGGUACCUUGCGAGAAAGCCACGGCUAACUCUGUGCCAGCAGCCGCAGUAAUAC
rnacentral:rRNA from 1 species